rnacentral:piRNA from 1 species
UCCAAGCUCCUACUAGGAUGACC